CGGCGUGAGGAUCUACACGCCAAGCAAACACACGCCUCCAUAUUAGCCAUAGUAAUCUUUCAAUUCCAUGAGCGAUCUUCUCCUUAGUUCUUGCCGCAAGUGCACACGCCCGUCUGUGCGCACUUGUCGCAGGUAUCGGUACCCACGGUGCGGUUCUUGCCGCAAGUGCAAACCCCGGUUUGAGCGCACUUGUCGCAAGUGUCCACGCCCUCCACGCGGUUCUUCCCGCAGGUGCAAACCCCGGUUUGGGCGCACUUGUCACAGGUUGCCACUCCAACCGGGGCGGCAAAGUUCGCACCGCUGCGAGAGCAAAUCACCUUUUCAGUGAGGGAUGCAUGGAGAGAUUCGCGAGAGUUUCACCUGAAGUCUCCGGCGGUGCUCAG
rnacentral:lncRNA from 1 species